GAUGAACGCUGGCGGCGUGCCUAACACAUGCAAGUCGAGCGAUUCUCUUCGGAGAAGAGCGGCGGACGGGUGAGUAACGCGUGGGUAACCUGCCCUGUACACACGGAUAACAUACCGAAAGGUAUGCUAAUACGAGAUAAUAUGCUUUUAUCGCAUGAUAGAAGUACCAAAGCUUUUGCGGUACAGGAUGGACCCGCGUCUGAUUAGAUAGUUGGUAAGGUAACGGCUUGCCAGGGCGACGACCAGUAGCCGACCUGAGAGGGUGAUCGGCCACAUUGGAACUGAGACACGGUCCAAACUCCUACGGGAGGCAGCAGUGGGGAAUAUUGCACAAUGGGCGAAAGCCUGAUGCAGCAACGCCGCGUGAGCGAUGAAGGCCUUCGGGUCGUAAAGCUCUGUCCUCAAGGAAGAUAAUGACGGUACUUGAGGAGGAAGCCCCGGCUAACUACGUGCCAGCCGCCGCAGUAAGAC
rnacentral:rRNA from 1 species